GCCCAGGUGGUGGAAUGGUAUACACGGGGGACUUAAAAUCCCCUGCUCGAAAGGGCUUGUGGGUUCGAAUCCCACCCUGGGCACCA
rnacentral:tRNA from 1 species